rnacentral:tRNA from 1 species
ACUAAGAAUCUUCUCAAGGUA